rnacentral:rRNA from 1 species
GACGAACGCUGGCGGCGUGCUUAACACAUGCAAGUCGAACGGAAAGGCCCUGCUUUUGUGGGGUGCUCGAGUGGCGAACGGGUGAGUAACACGUGAGUAACCUGCUCUUGACUUUGGGAUAACUUCAGGAAACUGGGGCUAAUACCGGAUAGGAGCUCCUGCUGCAUGGUGGGGGUUGGAAAGUUUCGGCGGUUGGGGAUGGACUCGCGGCUUAUCAGCUUGUUGGUGGGGUAGUGGCUUACCAAGGCUUUGACGGGUAGCCGGCCUGAGAGGGUGACCGGCCACAUUGGGACUGAGAGACGGCCCAGACUCCUACGGGAGGCAGCAGUGGGGAAUAUUGCACAAUGGGCGGAAGCCUGAGGCAGCAACGCCGCGUGCGGGAUGACGGCCUUCGGGUUGUAAACCGCUUUCGCCUGUGACGAAGCGUGAGUGACGGUAAUGGGUAAAGAAGCACCGGCUAACUAUGUG